AUGAAACUGAACACAGAAACUGGACAAGAGCAAAUACAUUCUUAUGGACAGUCCCUGACCUCCUCUGCUUCUGUGGUGAAGAGACCUGGAGAGUCAGUCACUGUGUCCUGUACUGUCUCUGGAUUCUCUAUGAGCAGCUACUACAUGCACUGGAUCCGUCAGAAACCAGGACGAGGACUGGAGUGGAUCGGACUCAUUUAUACUGGCACUAGCACAACAUUCGCUCAGUCUCUGCAGGGCCAGUUCUCCAUCACUAAAGACACCAAUAAAAACAUGCUGUAUCUAGAAGUGAAGAGUCUGAAAGCUGAAGACACGGCGGUUUAUUACUGUGCACGACACUCACACUGA